rnacentral:rRNA from 1 species
AUCGUGGUAAAUUGGGCGUGGAUAUAGCACGGAAACGCUGUGUGUAACACAGUCAAAUGGGGUUUGCCGGCCUCAAUGGCCACUGUCCGUGGCCGGCAUGAGCGGGCUCCUGGGAGCCCGGCCUCGUUAAGUGCUCCCCAAGUACCCCCUCUCCCGCUGCUCAAAGAAGGCAGCAUAAGUGGAUCAUGUGGGCGAAACGGAGGCCUCUGUUACCCGGGUAGCCCCCCCCCCCUUUGGGGUUAUGGGGCCUGGGCGCGUGCAGAGACUAACCACAAGCGCACGAUGGGCUUCAGACCUAUCAGCAAGGUGGUAGGGUAUUGGCCUACCAUAGCGUUGACGGGUACAGAGGAUUAGGGUUUGAUCCUGGAGAGGUAGCCU